rnacentral:misc_RNA from 1 species
UAAACAGAAUGUAGAGUCUCAACCCUGCUGUGGAGAUCAUCAUGGUGGAGAACACACCUGAUGAUCCUCGUCAAAGGAAGCCCGACAUCACAAAAGCAAAGGAGUUGCUCGGAUGGGAGCCAAAGAUCAAGUUGAAGGACGGACUUCCUCUCAUGGAGGAUGAUUUCCGAACCAGACUCGAAGUCCCGAGAAAAAACUAAGCUUGUUAAGCAUGGCAAAAACAACCUCGGAUGGUUGGAGUGAAGAGUUUUCAAGAGAAUGCUUGGAAGUUUGAGAGGAGACUGUGUUGGUUAGGUUAGG